rnacentral:lncRNA from 1 species
UCUCUCUCUCUCUCUCUCUCUCUCUCUCUCUCUCUCUCUUACACUCCCCACCACCACCACCAAACAAACACACAAGAAAUAAAAAAUUGACAAAACGAGGCAGAAAUAUGAACAUCUAACCAAAUUCAAGGUGAGCAGAAACCGAAUAGAAAGAUCUAGUAUUAAAAAGUUUUGAACCUUGUAAUGAAUCCUCUAGGCAUAAAACCCAAAUGCAAUAAAUCAACAUGUUCUCCAUUAGUCAACCAACCUUCUUUUUUUUCCUAGAGGAAUUUGAC